UUCAAGAUGGCGGCGCCCAGGGGUGGCUCGGGCUCGGACACAGAUUCGGACAGCAGCGGCGAGGCGGCGGCGGCGGCGCGGUUCCGGGAGGCCGCCUGGGACUGCGCUGCGCAGGCGGCGGCGUCGGUGCGGGCGGAGCCGCGCGGUGGUGGCUUUAAAAGGGAUCGGUUACAGAGACAGCCUGCUCAGCCUAGCCUAAGGCAUGAGUUGAAUGGUCAUGAAGAGGAUGGAAAUGAGCUACAGACAACACCAGAGUUCAGAGCACAUGUAGCAAAGAAACUGGGAGCAAUGCUAGACAGUUUCAUCACUGUCCUGAAGGACCAGUCAGGACCCUCACAAACGUCUGGGCAACAGUCUGACUCUGCAGAUGAUGGGUUUCGCCUCUUCUCCUCCUCUGUCCCAGGAGACUGUGGGAAAUCAGAGCCUUGCCCUGCAGCAAGGAGGAGACAGCCAUCUAGCUCCAGUGAGAUGGACAGUGACCAAGAGUGGCAAAGGUACCAAGAGGCUGCUGUGUCAGCCACAGACAUUAUGAAGCAAAGUGCUUUUCCUGUGCUGUGCCGGGAUUCCAGCCAGGAUCAGAGUGGGGGUUAUGUAGAGCACAGCCGGAAAAAAAAGAAGAAGAAGAAGAAAAUGAAAAUCAGGGGAGAGAACAAUAUUCAAGAGACAAUAAUAGACCCAGCAGAGUGUGAUCAGAUCUGCAAAGAUUUGCCACAGUUGGUGUCUGCAAAUGAGAGACAGGACUGCAGUCACCCAGAGAACUCUGUGUUGCCAGGAGCUGUGAAGAAGAAAAAGAAGAGAAAGAAAGAAUGAGGCUUUUGCUCUGGAAGCAGCAGGUGAAUGUGAUGGAUGAAGGAUGCUGGGAAAAACCCCUGACAACAAGAGUUGCUGCAGAUGAGGGAAAAUGAAUUGGCAAAGGUUCUGCUCUAAAAGUUCAGUGGCCUGAGAGUCUAAUUGAGUAACUUCCUAUGUGGCUGGUAUCCCUUGGAGAAGGGAACAUUGUUCUCUUUGCACAGCAGUUACCUAUGCUGCUGCUUAUGCAGAACUAGUGUAAAAGGAUUCAGUACUGCACACAGACUUGUGUGACAGAGAGCUAUAAUCAUAGCUGCAUCCCUCCUGGUCUGUUCCUUCACAUGAUGAAAUCAAACCUUGUGUCCUGGAGAAAUCAAAUGAUGAAUUGAAUUUGGUUUACAUAGCAACAGGUGGUGUCCGAGUACCAGCUCACCUCCCUGCAGUGAGUUCAAAAAGGCUCGUAUGGAUCCAGAAGACUUUGUGUGGCUAAAAAGAACAUUUUGGAGUCCAUGUACAAAUAUUUAAUACCUUCAGCUGUGGAGGCUUUUAGAACAGCCUGUCUUGAAACCAGUGAACUUUGAAGUCUAUAAAACCAGAAACCAACAUCUGUUUGUAUGCUAGGACCUCACUGAAUGUUACAACUGGAUGCCAUAUGGAAAAUCCUUACCUGAAUAUGGAAGCCUUUCAAAUACUGAGGAGGAGGUAAAUAUUCUCUAUCACUUUAUCCUAAAAGGCUUUCUGGUCUAUUAGAAGUGUCCAUUUUAAACUGGAGGAGCCUGGACAAUUAACAAAACAAGCAAACUUCCACGCAUCCGUCUUUACAUUCACUGUAACCUGCCAGAUUGUGCUAGUGAAUUAUUCAGCACUCCAGUUAAGUAUUUCAGAUUCUUCAGUGCAGGAAAAGCAGUGAGCUUUUCAGUGUUUCUUAAAUGUUAGAAGUUGCUAGUGGUCAGACUGAAGGAGAUUCCUGUUGUGAAUUAGCCAGCACCCCUGCUUUAUACCCUUGCAUUAAGGAUUGCAAUAUCAUAUUUACCAGUUUAUUACAAAUGCCAUGAUGUGCCGUUUUGAGUAAAUAAGAAUAGCAGAGGCCAAGGAAGGAAACUUUUUAAAGAGAACUUUAAAAAGAUAGGGCAUAGUCCCAGUAGUAGAGCAUGAACUAAAUUGUGCAGUGCCAUAAUCCAGACAACAUUCUCCUGUAACUGAAUUGUACUCAGGGAUUUUGCCUUGAGGAUGACUAUUAGAAAGAAGAGGUUUUCCUUUUGCUAUCCCCAUUUUCACCUUUCACCAGUGAUCAGUAUAUGUUGAUUUCCUUAAUUGCAACGAUUUGCUUGGCCAUGACUCUAUUCUCAAGUCACCAUGACUAAUGUGAUAACUGUAAUUGUGAUAGGGGAAACUUUUGAAGACAGCUGCUUGUUUUCCCCACGUUUGCAGUGUCUGGCUUUGUGUUUUUAACCCUGCAGAAUUACUUGGUUUUCCUUAGUGUAGUUAAUAUGGUGGUUUAGGCCCCUCAAAGUCAGUGCUUCACUGGCAAGACAGGAACAGCUUUACACCACUAUAACCUGGUCAGCUUAAUAGCAAGCUCACUAGCAAUGUUACAUUAAAAAACCGUAUGGAUGCAGAUUGGAGGAAUAUAUCCAUCAGUAAUCACAAGAAAUCUGAUUUUGAUUUUAUUUUAAAGGCAAUUUCAAUAAAGAUUAUUUAAACAUUUUCAACUACUUUGCGUUCUCUUGCACACACUUUAAUACAACUGCUAUGGUUUUCUUCUCCUGCAGUAGCAGACUGAUAACAUUGUGUGACAGCUAUCAUAUAAAACUUGGUUCCUGGCA